CACGUAGGGUGCGAGCGUUGUCCGGAAUUAUUGGGCGUAAAGAGCUCGUAGGCGGUGUGUCGCGUCGGCCGUGAAAACCUGCAGCUUAACUGUGGGCUUGCGGUCGAUACGGGCAUCACUGGAGUUCGGCAGGGGAGACUGGAAUUCCUGGUGUAGCGGUGAAAUGCGCAGAUAUCAGGAGGAACACCGGUGGCGAAGGCGGGUCUCUGGGCCGAUACUGACGCUGAGACGCGAAAGCGUGGGGAGCGAACAGG
rnacentral:rRNA from 1 species